AGAGUUUGAUCCUGGCUCAGAUUGAACGCUGGCGGAAUGCUUUACACAUGCAAGUCGAACGGCAGCACGGGGGCAACCCUGGUGGCGAGUGGCGAACGGGUGAGUAAUACAUCGGAACGUGCCCAGUCGUGGGGGGAUAACGCAGCGAAAGCUGUGCUAAUACCGCAUACGAUCUACGGAUGAAAGCGGGGGAUCGCAAGACCUCGCGCGAUUGGAGCGGCCGAUGGCAGAUUAGGUAGUUGGUGGGGUAAAGGCUCACCAAGCCGACGAUCUGUAGCUGGUCUGAGAGGACGACCAGCCACACUGGGACUGAGACACGGCCCAGACUCCUACGGGAGGCAGCAGUGGGGAAUUUUGGACAAUGGGCGCAAGCCUGAUCCAGCCAUUCCGCGUGCAGGAUGAAGGCCUUCGGGUUGUAAACUGCUUUUGUACGGAACGAAAAGCCUUCUUCUAAUACAGGAGGGUCAUGACGGUACCGUAAGAAUAAGCACCGGCUAACUACGUGCCAGCAGCCGCGGUAAUACGUAGGGUGCAAGCGUUAAUCGGAAUUACUGGGCGUAAAGCGUGCGCAGGCGGUUAUGUAAGACAGUUGUGAAAUCCCCGGGCUCAACCUGGGAACUGCAUCUGUGACUGCAUAGCUAGAGUACGGUAGAGGGGGAUGGAAUUCCGCGUGUAGCAGUGAAAUGCGUAGAUAUGCGGAGGAACACCGAUGGCGAAGGCAAUCCCCUGGACCUGUACUGACGCUCAUGCACGAAAGCGUGGGGAGCAAACAGGAUUAGAUACCCUAGUAGUCC
rnacentral:rRNA from 1 species